rnacentral:lncRNA from 1 species
CGGCUUUAAUCAGCAUGCUGCACAUUCUGUCAAACUGCCCCCCCCCCGCUUUUUUUUUUUUUCUUUUCUUUUGAAAGCAAUACAUUAUUUCUUAGAUUUUGGCAAAAGCUAGACUUCUGCUAGCCACAAAGUGACUACAUAAAGGCUGUUACCAAGCCGAUUUCCCGUCUCUGCCAAGAGGCUGUUCCCCGGCACUGCCCUAAAUUAAUAAGGCCAAUCAGAAAUGCACAAAGCCUGGAUGGCCAAUCACUCUUCUGGAGGUUUUUGCCAUCUUCUCUGCGGUCAGAUAAAUCACGUUAAAGCCAUUACACCAAUGACCAUAAAUUAGGGGGCCUGGCUGUCCGUUCCUCCGAGGACGCUACAGACUAAGAUGAUUCCCGGGGGCUGCACUGGGGCCUCGGGGGUGUUACUGAGUUGUGGGGGUCCUUGGGGUGCGGGAGGGUGGAUGGGCGAGGCGCCGGGUAUUGGUUCUUGCAGAAUGCGCGAGGUGGACUCGCGCAACCUCCAGGGUCCACAUUUGAGCUGCACCCAGCUGCUGACACGCGCUGCUCAGAGAUGGCCUCGAUUCCCCAGGUGCGGGGACUCCAUCUGCGCGGCUCCUCGAGACUAUUUACAACCGAGGUUAGGUCGGUGAUUGCUGGCAUGGAAAACUCAUUUCUCAGCCUGACUUUUAUUUACAGUCUUAUUAAGGAGGCUUUCGCUCACGUAGGACUGGCAGCAAGAAGCUGGCGGCCGAUUGCGCGGUGGGGGGAGUGACCGCGGCCCCAGAGCCGACAGGAGAGUGGCAAAGCGCGGGGACAAAGGCGCGGGAAGCCUGGGCGCCCGGCUCUGCAGACGGCAAGGGGCCGCUGCUUUUCCACCACCCUGGGAAAGUUCGAUGGCUCCGUGGCUGAAUUUUUCCUUGCAGUGUUUAGCUGGUUCCUGGCUCCAUUCUCCCCUGCCCCCGGCCCAGGCACUCUUUGUAAAUUCAUAAUAACACGCACCGGUUACCAAAGUGCUUCACCCCCAUCUAAAACCCGAGGUAGAGGUCUAAUCCUUCUCCCGUAAUAGACCCAUUUCCACCUGCAGCUCAGGAUGGCUGGAAGAAGGCUCUGAACGCCCUCUGGGGUCUCCGCUGCCUGGCCAAGCCCGGAGAAGGCGGCGGGGUUGGACUCAGCAGUAACGACUCCCGGGAGGAACAGCUCCGGGCUGUUCUUUCCAUUGGCACCGUCUCAAACCCGAGCAGGCCCUCGUGUGUGCGUGUGAGCCUGCAUGUCCUGAAAAUGCUCCUGCAGCCCCGGCACAUCUGGGUCCCCUAACCAUGCAUAUUCAUGCCUGCCAGCAGUAAAACCCAGGUCAGCUGCUAGGAGACAGUGAACUGCCUUCUUGAAAGCUGACCAAGCCCCAGAAUCUAAUAAAAGACCCAACUGUCUCCUCUCCAACUCUAUGCAGAGCCUCAUAACACUUGAGACAUUAUUUUUGUUGUUUUGUUUUUUUUCGUAAAAGGAACAAAGGAAACCUGGAGAAGUCUUGCUGCUGUAGAGCCGAGGAGGGGUUUCUAACCUUGUUCCCACUGCCAUAGAAACUGAUUUCACUCUGGUAGCUUGCCUGGUUCCCCUGGCCUCUUGGAUGAGGGGAUGACAUUUUCUUAUUCUGUCUUCUGCACAGGGUCCCUCCCAUUUAACAUGUUUACCAUCCCUUCUUUUAUCAUUUUCCUUUUUGUGUGAGUUGCUCUUUCCCUUCCUCUUCUUCCCAGAAAAGAGUGGAUUCCUUUUCUACCAUCCUACAUUUCUGUCACUUUGUUCAGAAAUGCCCCUUUCCUUCUCUUUAGUAGCUCAGGGGUGCAGCCCCUCGCUGGCACAGCCUGGGGGAUGGGGAACUAAACCUGGUGCACUGGAAAGAGAACAUCAGAGCAAUGACACUUGGUUUUCCUACCAACUUGACUACCCACAGUCCCCCAGGACUCCCAUCUAGUUGCGGGGCACUGCACUCUAUCCACUUCAGUAUUAUGGGCUGAUUUGUGUCCGCCAAAAUUGAUGUGUUGAAGCUGUAAUCCCUAUCACAGAAUGUGACUGUGUUCAGACACAGAGCCCAUAAAGAGGUUUAAGGUUAAAUAAGAUCACAUAGGUGGACCCUAAUGAUGCCCUUGAACUUGCCAUCCUCCUGCCUCAUAAGAAAGAAAAUUUGGAUACACGAAGAAAUCCUAAAAUGUAUGGUACACAGGGAAUAGACCGAGAAGGAGGCAGUCUCUUGCAGAGAAGCUUCAGGAGAAACCAAACCUGCUGGCAUCUUGAUCUUGGACUUCUAGGCUUCAGAACUGUGAGAAAUAAAUUCCUGUUAUUAAAGGUGCCCAGUCUGUGAUUUAUUGUUACGGUGACCCUAGCUAGCCAAUACAGGCAUGAAGGAAGCCUUCCUGGACCGUUUCUGUGGCCCUCCUUCCUCCUCCAUGUCUCAGAAACUCUUUCCCUCAAAUUGGCCUGGUACAACUUUUCUUUCUGUUAUGUUCCAGAUAAUCCUGUUUUUUUGAGACAAAAACUUUUACUUAAUGACAAUUUUUUGAUAAAAGAGUUUUACUUCUACACCUCUUGUUUGAUUUUUG